rnacentral:tRNA from 1 species
GCACUAGUGGUCUAGUGGAAGAAUAGUACCCUGCGACGGUAUAGACCUGGGUUCGAUUCCCGUGGUGCA